rnacentral:lncRNA from 13 species
CCUGCCUGGCUGCCAGCCAGCCCACACCACAGGCCACAGCCACAUCAGGGACCCAGCGCUGGGCAGCGCAUAUCUGAGUCAGCCCUGGCCACACAACCUGCGGCCAAGGCCAUGUCGCCUCCUCUUGGAAGCGCGUUUCACACCCACCAUGUACCUUCCCAUCUUCCUUUUCAACUAGCACAUCUCAGAGCUACUUUUCAAACCCUCUAUGGGACAAACACAAAAGUGAAGAGAGCAGUGCCACGAGUCCAGCUCCUCAGCAUCCACACGGUUCACCAGAUGCCAGUUUCCCCCAGGAGUGCUUUAGAGCAGACCCUAGGUUAGAACCCUUCACUCAGGAGUGCCUCUGCUAUCUGUCACUUCAGGAAUGGGGCUGUGCAGACCUGGUGUCAACACAGACACAGGACUACAGGGUGGGGGCCACUCAUCCAUCUGAGGAACCGAGAGCUGGAGCCACCCCAGGUCAUGGGGCUCAGCCCGGAUGGGGACAGAGGAAACGUGAUGAGGAAGUAAAUGGGGCAUCAGCAGUGCUGGAGGCCUCGCCCCCUCCCCUGUGUGCCUUGAAGGCUGCUUGGAGGAAAGGGCAGAGGCUGGCAGGAGAUGCUCAGGUACCUCACCUGAAGGGGCCGGAUGCAGAGGUAGUGCGGGAGGACGGAUGGGGCAGGGUGGCCCCACCCCCACCUGAGGCCACCAGAUGCUCUGAAUCUAGCGGGAUGAGGGGCUGGGACUGGGAGGGGUGGUGGAGAGUGGGUAUCGGGGGUUUGGGGAAGGGGAACCAAGGGAAAGAGAGUGAAGUGCCAGAUACGGGAGGCCUAGGAGCCAGAUUUUCACUGGGUGAGGGGUCCUGUGGGGCAGGUGGGCCCCAAGAGUCCAGGACCUGGUCCUGGCGUGGCUCUCAGCUCCCCUCUGCCCAGAAAAUGUCCCCACUGACCACAGGCAUCACUGGACACCGUUGCAGGGAAGCAGCAACUUCGGACUUGGUAGGGGAGGGACCCAGGGGCAGAACCUCAAGAGAACAAUGCAGCCGGGCAGGAAACAGCACUGGAAAUGUGUGAGGAGGGACAGGACACCACCGCACACCUGCUCCUGCCCGGGUCAGAGGUCACCAGGGGCUGCCGAUGCCAAUGACCUCAGACUUCAGCCUCUGUGCCUAAAACCUCACCCCAAGCCAAGAUUCUGGAGGGGGAGGCCCUGGCCAGAACCACGUGCUUCCAAUGCCCCUGCAGGGCAGCUGGAGAGGGGACGGGAAGGCCAAGACCAGUCCAGCCCUGGGAGCAAGGAGGUGGCAUGUGGAGCCCGACGAGAAACAUAGGCUUUAUUAGUCAUUCAUAAUUAGAAAAGUGGGUGCUGGGCUCUGCCUGGUCACUGCUGGUG